GACGAACGCUGGCGGCGUGCUUAACACAUGCAAGUCGAACGGUGACGGAGAGCUUGCUCUCCUGAUCAGUGGCGAACGGGUGAGUAACACGUGGGCGACCUGCCCCAGACUUCGGGAUAACGCUUCGAAAGAGGUGCUAAUACCGGAUACGAACUCCUUGGGCAUCCUUGGAGUUGGAAAGUUUUUCGGUCUGGGAUGGGCCCGCGGCCUAUCAGCUUGUUGGUGAGGUAACGGCUCACCAAGGCGACGACGGGUAGCCGGCCUGAGAGGGCGACCGGCCACACUGGGACUGAGACACGGCCCAGACUCCUACGGGAGGCAGCAGUGGGGAAUAUUGCGCAAUGGGCGAAAGCCUGACGCAGCAACGCCGCGUGAGGGAUGACGGCCUUCGGGUUGUAAACCUCUUUCAGCAGGGAAGAAGCGAAAGUGACGGUACCUGCAGAAGAAGCACCGGCUAACUACGUGCCAGCAGCCGCCGUAACAC
rnacentral:rRNA from 1 species